rnacentral:rRNA from 1 species
GGUUUGUUAAGUCAGAUGUGAAAGCCCGGGGCUCAACCUCGGAAUUGCAUUUGAAACUGGCAGACUAGAGUACUGUAGAGGGGGGUAGAAUUUCAGGUGUAGCGGUGAAAUGCGUAGAGAUCUGAAGGAAUACCGGUGGCGAAGGCGGCCCCCUGGACAGAUACUGACACUCAGAUGCGAAAGCGUGGGGAGCAAACAGGAUUAGAUACCCUGGUAGUCCACGCCGUAAACGAUGUCUACUUGGAGGUUGUGGCCUUGAGCCGUGGCUUUCGGAGCUAACGCGUUAAGUAGACCGCCUGGGGAGUACGGUCGCAAGAUUAAAACUCAAAUGAAUUGACGGGGGCCCGCACAAGCGGUGGAGCAUGUGGUUUAAUUCGAUGCAACGCGAAGAACCUUACCUACUCUUGACAUCCAGAGAACUUUCCAGAGAUGGAUUGGUGCCUUCGGGAACUCUGAGACAGGUGCUGCAUGGCUGUCGUCAGCUCGUG